AUUGAACGCUGGCGGCAUGCCUAACACAUGCAAGUCGAACGGCAGCAUGAAUAGGGGUAACCUUAUUUGAUGGCGAGUGGCGGACGGGUGAGUAAUAUGUAGGAAUCUACCUAGAGGAGGGGGAUAACUUGGGGAAACCCAAGCUAAUACCACAUAAGCCCUACGGGGGAAAGCAGGGGACCGCAAGGCCUUGCGCCUUAUGAUGAGCCUACAUCGGAUUAGCUAGUUGGUGGGGUAAAGGCCUACCAAGGCGACGAUCCGUAGCUGGUCUGAGAGGAUGAUCAGCCACACUGGGACUGAGACACGGCCCAGACUCCUACGGGAGGCAGCAGUGGGGAAUAUUGGACAAUGGGCGAAGGCCUGAUCCAGCAAUGCCGCGUGUGUGAAGAAGGCCUUAGGGUUGUAAAGCACUUUCAGUAGGGAGGAAGGGUGUAACGCUAAUAUCGUUGCACAUUGACGUUACCUACAGAAGAAGCACCGGCUAACUCUGUGCCAGCAGCCGCCGUAA
rnacentral:rRNA from 1 species